rnacentral:rRNA from 1 species
UACUAGAGUAGCACUCGCAUAUCAAUAAGCGGAGGAAAAGAAACUAACAAGGAUUCCCCUAGUAACGGCGAGUGAAGCGGGAAGAGCUCAAAUUUGAAAUCUUAAAGGGUUUCCCUUUACGAAUUGUAGUUUAAAGAAGUGUUUUCUGUUGAGGUUUUGGUAAAAGUUCUUUGGAAUAGGACAUCAUAGAGGGUGAGAAUCCCGUAUUUGACCUUUACUUUCAACUUUGUGAUACACUUUCAAAGAGUCGGAUUGUUUGGGAAUGCAGUCCAAAAUGGGUGGUAAACUUCAUCUAAAGCUAAAUAUUGGCGAGAGACCGAUAGCGAACAAGUACCGUGAGGGAAAGAUGAAAAGAACUUUGAAAAGAGAGUUAAACAGGUACGUGAAAUUGUCAAAAGGGAAGCGUUUGACACCAGUGUUGUUUUUCUGAAAAUCAAUUAAAGAACUGUUUAUGCUAAGCUGUUUAGACUUUAUCAGCUAUCUGUUUAGUUUUAGGCUUUUCUUUAAUGCACUUUUCAGUUAACAAGUCAACAUCAAUUUCUUUUGCUGUAAAAAAGCUUGAGGAGGGUGGCUUGAGAUUCGUCUUAAGUGUUUAUAGCCUCCUGCCUAUGCAGUCGGAGAGAUUGAGGUCUGCAGCGUAGAUCCUUCGGGGCUAAAUGCAUUUGUGCUAAGUUAUAGCAUUUUAUAGACAACUUGUUGACUAUGAUUUGUCUUGUAGCUUACUCGCUUAUGUUAUUUUACCUACGCUUAGGAUGUUGAGCGCAUGUCUCUCUCU